rnacentral:rRNA from 1 species
AGUCGAACGGUAACAGGAAGCAGCUUGCUGCUUCGCUGACGAGUGGCGGACGGGUGAGUAAUGUCUGGGAAACUGCCUGAUGGAGGGGGAUAACUACUGGAAACGGUAGCUAAUACCGCAUAACGUCGCAAGACCAAAGAGGGGGACCUUCGGGCCUCUUGCCAUCGGAUGUGCCCAGAUGGGAUUAGCUAGUAGGUGGGGUAACGGCUCACCUAGGCGACGAUCCCUAGCUGGUCUGAGAGGAUGACCAGCCACACUGGAACUGAGACACGGUCCAGACUCCUACGGGAGGCAGCAGUGGGGAAUAUUGCACAAUGGGCGCAAGCCUGAUGCAGCCAUGCCGCGUGUAUGAAGAAGGCCUUCGGGUUGUAAAGUACUUUCAGCGGGGAGGAAGGCGACAGGGUUAAUAACCCUGUCGAUUGACGUUACCCGCAGAAGAAGCACCGGCUAACUCCGUGCCAGCAGCCGCGGUAAUACGGAGGGUGCAAGCGUUAAUCGGAAUUACUGGGCGUAAAGCGCACGCAGGCGGUCUGUCAAGUCGGAUGUGAAAUCCCCGGGCUCAACCUGGGAA